rnacentral:lncRNA from 1 species
CGCGGUGGCUCACGCCUAUAAUCCCAGCACUUUGGGAGGCCGAGGCAGGUGGAUCACCUGAGGUCAGGAGUUCAAGACCAUCCUGGCCAACAUGGUGAAACCCUGUCUCUACUAAAAAUACAAAAAUUAGCCAGGCAUGGUGGCAGGCGCCUGUAAUCCCAGCUACGUGGGAGGCUGGGGCAGGAGAAUUGCUCCAACCUGGGAGGCAGAGGUUGCAGUAAGCCGAGAUCAUGCCACUGCACUCCAGCCUGGGCAACAGAGUGAGGCUUUGUCUCAAAAAAAAAAAAAAAAAAAAAAAAUGCUGGGCUCGGUGGCUCAACCUGUAAUCCCAGCACUUUGGGAGGCCGGGCGGAUCAUGAGGUGAAGAGAUCGAGACCAUCUUGGCCAACAUGGUAAAAACCCAUCUCUACUAAAAAUACAAAAAUUAGCUGGGCAUGGUGGCAUGUGCCUGUAAUCCCAGCUACUUGGGAGGCUGAGGCAGGAGAAUCACUUGAAUCCAGGAGGCGGAGGCUGCAGUGAGCUGAGAUUGCACCACUGCACUCCAGCCUGGUGACAGAGUAAGACUCCAUUCACCCCGCCCCCACCCACACACACACAAAAAG